rnacentral:rRNA from 1 species
GACGAACGCUGGCGGCGUGCUUAACACAUGCAAGUCGAGCGGUAAGGCCCUUUCGGGGGUACACGAGCGGCGAACGGGUGAGUAACACGUGGGUGACCUGCCCUCAGCUCUGGGAUAAGCCUGGGAAACCGGGUCUAAUACUGGAUAUGACUCCAUGACGCAUGUUGUGGGGUGGAAAGCCUUGUGCGGCUGAGGAUGGGCCCGCGGCCUAUCAGCUUGUUGGUGGGGUGANGGCCUACCAAGGCGACGACGGGUAGCCGGCCUGAGAGGGCGACCGGCCACACUGGGACUGAGACACGGCCCAGACUCCUACGGGAGGCAGCAGGUGGGGAAUCUUGCGCAAUGGGCGAAAGCCUGACGCAGCGACGCCGCGUGAGGGAUGACGGCC